AGCCCUGACUCUGGUUCCUUGCUCCACCUUGUGUCUCCAAAUAUCCAGAGCCCCAACCAAGCUCUUCGAAGUUCUUAUCACCUGAACCUCGAGCCUGUGGAGAAAUAUACACUGCCUCCACCCUAGAACUAUUUCUAUCCUAGCCCUGGGAUCCAAACCCUAUCUUAGCCUCCUGGAGACAACACCCUAGCUCCUUCUUUGGCCUCCCAAGGCUUGGAAGCACCACACUAACUCCUACAAUCUCCAUCUUGGUGCCCCCAAGUCUUAGCACACCUAGCAAUAUUCUUCUGCAUGCUCCCACUAUCGCUGCAUGCUUGGAUAGCCACUUUUGUAAAUAUCCUUGUCACCGCCAACCCUCUUCAGCUUCUGCUUGUCCUUGGAGACCCUUUGGGAUGACCGCCUCUACAGCUGAAGACCCUGACUUGCUCCUCGGUACCAUCCUGAAAAUUAUAGACUCUUUUCUGUUAAGCAGCCGCAUCACCUAUCCUGGACUUUUUUGGAGAAGCCGCAACAUUCCUGAACCGGCACUCGCUGCAUAUCUUGAUAUAGUAUCCUC
rnacentral:lncRNA from 1 species